AGCUUUGCACAGUGGCAGUAUCGUAGCCAAUGAGGUUUAUCCGAGGCAUGAUUAUUGCUAAUUGAUCAACGACAAGAGAGAUUGUGGAGUUUACUGACAGAAAAGAAUUUUUUUUUAAAAAAAUUAAGAAUUCCUGGGUACCUUUUUAUGG
ensembl:snRNA U4 U4 spliceosomal RNA